rnacentral:rRNA from 1 species
ACGAACGCUGGCGGCAGGCUACACCUGCAAGUUGAACGGGAUCUUCGGAUCUAGUGGCGGACGGGUUAGUAACGCGUGGGACGUACCCUUUUCUACGGAAUAGCCUCGGGAAACUGAGAGUAAUACCGUAUACGCCCUUCGGGGGAAAGAUUUAUCGGAGAAGGAUCGGCCCGCGUAAGAUUAGAUAGUUGGUGGGGUAAUGGCCUACCAAGUCUACGAUCUUUAGCUGGUUUGAGACGGAUGAUCAGCAACACUGGCGACUGAGACACGGCCCAGACUCCUACGGGAGGCAGCACGUGGGGAAUCUCUAGACAACUGGGGGAAACCCUGAUCUAGCCAUGCCGCCGUGAGCUGACGAACGGCCUAUAGGGUCGUAAAGCUCUUUCGCUGCGGCGAACGAUAAUCGACUGUACCCAGCUAAACGAAACCCCGGCUAACUCCGUGCCAGCACGCCGCGCGCUACAUACGCGAGCGGGCGUAUAGCGUCUGUCUCGCGAAUUACUGGCGCGUAAACGCGCGCGUAGGCGGACUGGAAAGUUCGGGCGGUGAAAAUCCCGCGGGCCUCAACCCCGGAACGGCCUCCAAAA